GAUGAACGCUGGCGGCGUGCCUAAUACAUGCAAGUCGAGCGAACGGACGAGAAGCUUGCUUCUCUGACGUUAGCGGCGGACGGGUGAGCAACACGUGGAUAACCUACCUAUAAUACUGGGAUAACUUCGGGAAACCGGCGCUAAUACCGGAUAAUAUUUUGAACCGCAUGGUUCAAUAGUGAAAGACGGUCUUGCUGUCACUUAUAGAUGGAUCCGCGCUGCAUUAGCUAGUUGGUAAGGUAACGGCUUACCAAGGCAACGAUGCAUAGCCGACCUGAGGGGGUGAUCGGCCACACGGGAACUGAGACACGGUCCAGACUCCUACGGGAGGCAGCAGUAGGGAAUCGUCCGCAAUGGGCGAAAGCCUUACGGAGCAACGCCGCGCGAGUGAUGAAGGUGUCCGGAUCGUAAAAAUCUGUUAUGAGGGAAGAACAUAUGUGUAAGGAACUGUGCACAGCUUGACGGUACCUAAUCAGAAAGCCACGGCUAACUACGUG
rnacentral:rRNA from 1 species